rnacentral:rRNA from 1 species
UACGUAGGGAGCAAGCGUUAUCCGGAUUUAUUGGGUGUAAAGGGUGCGUAGGCGGUUUAAUAAGUCUAAGGUUUAAGCCCGAAGCUUAACUUCGGUUCGCCUUAGAAACUGUUUUUCUAGAGUAUGGUAGAGGCAAGUGGAAUUUCUAGUGUAGCGGUAAAAUGCGUAGAUAUUAGAAGGAACACCAGUGGCGAAGGCGGCUUGCUGGGCCAUUACUGACGCUGAGGCACGAAAGCGUGGGGAGC